rnacentral:rRNA from 1 species
GAAUAAAAAAAUGUUAAGAUUUUUUUAAUUAUAGAAUAUUAAAUUAAAUGUAUUAUAUGAGUUAAUCCUCUAAUAUUAAUUUAUUAAAAUAAUUUAAUAUUAAGUAUAUCUAUAUAUUAAAAUUAUAUUUAAAUUUAAUUAAAUUAAGAAUUAACUAUGUUAAAAUUAGUAUAUAUUUUUUGUUUUAUUAAGGAACUCGGCUAAUUAUUAUUCACCUGUUUAUCAAAAACAUAGUCUUAUGUAUUUAUAUAAGGUGAAACCUGCCCACUGAUGUUAAAUUUAAUGGCCGCAGUACCUUGACUGUGCUAAGGUAGCAUAAUAAAUUGACUUUUAAUUGGGGCCUUGAAUGAACGGAUAAAUGGAUAAUUUCUGUCUCAAUAAAAAUUUUAUAAGUUACUUAAAAGGUGAAAAUUCCUUUAAAUAAAUUAAAUAGACGAGAAGACCCUAGGAGUUUUUAAUUUUGUUGGGGCGACAGUAUAGCAUUAUAACCUAUAUAUAAAUAUUUAUAUAAAACGAAUAAUUUUAAUAAUAAAUAAACUACCCUAGGGAUAACAGCAUAAUUUAAUUUUAAGUUUGUGACCUCGAUGUUGGACUAGGGACUUUUAAAGCUAACAGUGUUAAUUGACAGUUCUGUUCGA